rnacentral:rRNA from 1 species
UACGUAGGUGGCAAGCGUUAUCCGGAAUUACUGGGUGUAAAGGGAGCGCAGGCGGCACGGCAAGCCUGAUGUGAAAGCCCGCGGCCCAACCGCGGGACUGCAUUGGGAACUACCGGGCUGGAGUGCCGGAGAGGUAGGCGGAAUUCCUAGUGUAGCGGUGAAAUGCGUAGAUAUUAGGAGGAACACCAGUGGCGAAGGCGGCCUACUGGACGGUGACUGACGCUGAGGCUCGAAAGCGUGGGGAGCAAACAGG